rnacentral:lncRNA from 1 species
CCAUGGAUCCUGCCCCAUAGAUCCUGACCUAUGGAUCCUGACCCACAGAUCCUGCCCCAUAGAUCCUGACCUAUGGAUCCUGACCCACAGAGCCUGCCCCAUAGAUCCUGCCCCAUAGAUCCUGCCCCAUAGAUCCUGACCCAUAGAUCCUGCCCCAUAGAUCCUGACCUAUGGAUCCUGACCCACAGAGCCUGACCCAUAGAUCCUGACCCAUGGAUCCUGCCCCAUAGAUCCCAUCCUGCCCCAUAGAUCCUGCCUGGGCACCUACAAGUACCUGGAGGUGCAGUACGACUGUGUGCCCUACAGUGAGUGC